rnacentral:rRNA from 1 species
AGUGGAAACUGGUGUGCUACAGGGCGACAGGGGUAGAGGGAAUUCCCAGUGUAGCGGUGAAAUGCGUACAGAUUGGGAAGAACACCGGUGGCGAAAGCGCUCUACUGGGUCGCACCUGACCCUCACGGACGAAAGCUAAGGUAUCGAAAGGGAUUAGAUACCCCUGUAGUCUUAGCCGUAAACGAUGGAUACUAGGCGUGGUUUGUAUCGACCCAAGCCGUGCCGAAGCUAACGCGUUAAGUAUCCCGCCUGGGGAGUACGCACGCAAGUGUGAAACUCAAAGGAAUUGACGGGGGCCCGCACAAGCGGUGGAGGAUGUGGUUUAAUUCGAUGCAACGCGAAGAACCUUACCAGGGCUUGACAUCCCGCGAAUCUCCAGGAAAGUGGAGAGUGCCUUCGGGAGCGCGGAGACAGGUGGUGCAUGGCUGUCGUCAGCUCGUGUCGUGAGAUGUUGGGUUAAGUCCCGCAACGAGCGCAACCCUCGUCCUUAGUUGCCAGCAUUUGAGUUGGGCACUCUAGGGAGACUGCCGGUGACAAACCGGAGGAAUGGUGAGGAUGACCGUCAAGUCAGCAUGCCCCUUAUGCUUUUGGGCAACACACGUCCUACAAUGGUCGGGACAAAGGGGAGCGAGCUCGCGAGAGUCAGCGAAUCCCAGCAAACUCGGCCUCAGUUCAGAUGGCAGGCUGCAACUCGCCUGCCUGAAGGAGGAA